GAACACCAGUGGCGAAGGCGGCUCUCUGGUCUGCAACUGACGCUGAGGCUCGAAAGCAUGGGUAGCGAACAGGAUUAGAUCCCCUGGUAGUCCACGCCGUAAACGUUGGGCGCUAGGUGUGGGGGUCCUUCCACGACCUCCGUGCCGCAGCUAACGCAUUAAGCGCCCCGCCUGGGGAGUACGGCCGCAAGGCUAAAACUCAAAGGAAUUGACGGGGGC
rnacentral:rRNA from 1 species